AACGAACGCUGGCGGCAUGCCUAACACAUGCAAGUCGAACGAGAUCUUCGGGUCUAGUGGCGCACGGGUGCGUAGCGCGUGGGAAUCUGCCCUUUGGUUCGGAAUAACAGUUGGAAACGACUGCUAAUACCGGAUGAUGACGAAAGUCCAAAGAUUUAUCGCCAGAGGAUGAGCCCGCGUAGGAUUAGCUAGUUGGUGUGGUAAAGGCGCACCAAGGCGACGAUCCUUAGCUGGUCUGAGAGGAUGAUCAGCCACACUGGGACUGAGACACGGCCCAGACUCCUACGGGAGGCAGCAGUGGGGAAUAUUGGACAAUGGGCGAAAGCCUGAUCCAGCAAUGCCGCGUGAGUGGUGAAGGCCUUAGGGUUGUAAAGCUCUUUUACCCGAGAUGAUAAUGACAGUACCGGGAGAAUAAGCUCCGGCUAACUCCGUGCCAGCCGCCGCCGUAA
rnacentral:rRNA from 1 species